CUGCCUGCAUUUUCCCUGCCUUCUGGCUGCCUGCUUGCCUGCCUUCUGCCUGCCUUCUGCGUGAAGGCAUCUGAGGGUUAAGGUAAAGGAGCUGACAACGCCCUUCAUCUUCUUUCAACUGGGACCAAAGGACAGGCGACAUUUGAGGGUUCCAGAUUUCCUUUGGAGAAAGAGUCGUAUUAUUGAAUGAACAGAACAUAGAGUGCUAGUGUCAUUUUACUUAAAGUUACAAAGAACAAGGUCAGGGUGGAGACAGACCAGAUAGCCUACAGCAGCAGGGAUCAUAAUGCAGACUUUUCUCAGGUAAGGAGAAAUUAUGACUUUUAUUCUUGAAGUAGAACAGUCUUUAAAAACUGGUGUAUGGUUUGAAGUGUCUACUUUUGACAUAAUUUGUAACAGAGUCUCGGAGAAUUAACCACAGAAAGAUGGAGGUUAAAUCACAUGACAGGAUCACAUCCCAUUGUUGUCAGGACAGAGUUUUCAUAGAUAUUUCAAAAGUACUAUUCAUACUCCAAAAU